rnacentral:rRNA from 1 species
GAUGAACGCUGGCGGCGUGCCUAAUACAUGCGAGUCGAGCGAACAGACGAGGAGCUUGCUCCUCUGACGUUGCCGACGGACGGGUAAGUAACAGGUGGUUAACCUACCUAUAAGACUGGGAUCACUUCGGGAAACCGUAGCUACUACUGGGUAAUAUAUUUAACCGCAUGGUUCAAUAGUUAUAUCGGGUUUUGCUGUCACUGAGAGAUGUAUGCUCGCCGCAUUGGCUAGUGGGUAAGGUAACGGCUUACCAAGGCAACGCUUGGUAGACGACCUACGAGGGUGAUCGCCCACCCUGGAGGUGGGACAGGGUCCAGACUCCUGCGGGAGGGAGCAGUAGGGAAUCUUACGCAAUGGGCGAAAGCAUGACGGAGCAACGCCGAGUGAGUGAUGACGGCCUUCGGAUCGUAAAAAUCUGUUAUUAGGGAAGAACAAAUGUGUAAGUAACCAUGCACGUCUUGACGGUACCUAAUUAGAAAGCCCCGGCUAACUACGUG